AUGGAAGAACCUUGCAAACCUAGCAAGCGUCAGUUUAUAUUUAUUUUAUUUUAUAUUUUUUGCGAAAAAAGGCCCGGGUCUAUUAUAGAGAAAUUUGCCUCUCUUCUGCUAAACUGUACGGCCUUGGCACUAGAAACUAUAGUGGAAGAGAAGAGGGGCAAAUUUCUCUAUAAUAGACUUUUUUCGCAAAAAACUCAAAUUUGGAUUAUAUUACUGGUUGUAUGUCCCUUCGUUCAGGACGUGCUCUUAAAAAACUCAAAUUUGGAUUAUAUUAUUAAAUCAAGAGAACAUCCGAUAUAA
rnacentral:rRNA from 1 species